rnacentral:rRNA from 1 species
CGGACGGGUGAGUAAUGUCUGGGAAACUGCCCGAUGGAGGGGGAUAACUACUGGAAACGGUAGCUAAUGCCGCAUAACGUCGCAAGACCAAAGAGGGGGACCUUCGGGCCUCUUGCCAUCGGAUGUGCCCAGAUGGGAUUAGCUAGUAGGUGGGGUAACGGCUCACCUAGGCGACGAUCCCUAGCUGGUCUGAGAGGAUGACCAGCCACACUGGAACUGAGACACGGUCCAG